rnacentral:misc_RNA from 1 species
CACAAAGGCAUUAGGGCCCAAACAUAUUGAGGACAAUUGGUUUAGAGAAUAAACCCCAGGCAUUAACCUCCAUAUAAUUAUGCAUUUCGUCGAACACCAGAUGCACAUACAAAUUGUAGUUAACAUGUAUUAAAAUUACCUGCAUUUGAUGGGUCACUAGCGCCAUUUUCUCCACUUUAAGCAGCCACUCAUUUACUGAACAAGACCUGUCCACAUGAAUUCAUGAGCUCUCCAAAGCACAACCCUUUUGAGG